rfam:Brachypodium distachyon strain Bd21 chromosome 3, whole genome shotgun sequence.
UAACUACUCCCUCCGUCCAACAAAGGUUGUCUCAAGUUUAUUAAAAUUUGGAUAUAUCUAGACAUGACUUAGUGUAUAGAUGUAUUUAAAUUUGAUCAAAUUUAAGACAUUUUUCGUUGGACGGAGGAAGUAUUUA